AUACGUAGGGGGCGAGCGUUGUCCGGAAUGAUUGGGCGUAAAGGGCACGUAGGCGGCCCGGUAAGUCUGGAGUGAAAGUCCUGUUUUUAAGAUGGGAAUUGCCUUGGAUACUGUCGGGCUUGAGUGCAGGAGAGGUAAGUGGAAUUCCCAGUGUAGCGGUGAAAUGCGUAGAGAUUGGGAGGAACACCAGUGGCGAAGGCGACUUACUGGACUGUAACUGACGCUGAGGCGCGAAAGUGUGGGGAGCAAACAGGAUUAGAUACCCUGGUAGUCCACACUGUAAACGAUGAAUGCUAGGUGUAGGGGGUAUCGACCCCUUCUGUGCCGCAGUCAACACAAUAAGCAUUCCGCCUGGGGAGUACGGCCGCAAGGUUGAAACUCAAAUGAAUUGACGGGG
rnacentral:rRNA from 1 species